rnacentral:rRNA from 1 species
AACGAACGCUGGCGGCAUGCCUAACACAUGCAAGUCGAACGAGACCUUCGGGUCUAGUGGCGCACGGGUGCGUAACGCGUGGGAACCUGCCCUUAGGUUCGGAAUAACUCCCCGAAAGGGGUGCUAAUACCGGAUAAUGUCUUCGGACCAAAGAUUUAUCGCCUUUGGAUGGGCCCGCGUUGGAUUAGCUAGUUGGUAGGGUAAAAGCCUACCAGGCGACGAUCCAUAGCUGGUCUGAGAGGAUGAUCAGCCACACUGGGACUGAGACACGGCCCAGACUCCUACGGGAGGCAGCAGUGGGGAAUAUUGGACAAUGGGCGAAAGCCUGAUCCAGCAAUGCCGCGUGAGUGAUGAAGGCCUUAGGGUUGUAAAGCUCUUUUACCCGGGAUGAUAAUGACAGUACCGGGAGAAUAAGCGCCGGCUAACUCCGUG